GGCAACCGGCACGGCACGGCACGGCUACCUUUUAGCUUUCUCCUUUCUGCUUUCCCCCAAACUUGUAAUCUGUAAGCUACCUGAGAGGAAUUGAAUCUAGAUCGAGACCGGCCACCUAACACCGCUGCUCCACUCUCCCCACCUGAUUUUCCAACAAAAACCGACGCAAUGACGAAAACCGAACGGCAGAACCCACCACGCAGGUCUCCCAUCCAAAUAUCCAAUCCACUUCCCAUCUCCCUGUCCCUGAUCCUCACAAUCGUCUCCGAUGCCGCCGCCCCAAAUUUGGAUUCGGGGCCUCCCCGUGAUCUCUACCGGCAGCGCCGCGCCUAGCCAGCUGUGGCCUCCCCAAGUCUCCUCUCCAGAGACCCCGUGAUGUCGCCGCCACGCAGUCUGUACCAACGUCGUGCAGGGCGCAGCCUCCAUGACCCACGUUCUCCCCACGCCGUCGCCUCCCCCAUAUCUCCAUCGGCGGCGGCGCACCGGCCACAGCCUCCCCACGCUAAUAGGAGGACAACCACGCUCUUCUUUUGAUCCAGGUGGCUGUGAUGCGAUGAGCGUUGGAGGGCACCGCCUGGAGUCUCGGCCAUCACAUCUCAGGCACACAAUUUGUCACAGAGGAUGCAUAUUAUUUCGUCCUCAAUUAGGUGAUUGACCUAUCUCAUAUUUUGUCAGAUAUUGCUUCUGCUCAAUCCAUUCAUACUACCAAGAUGAAGACGAGGAUUUGUGUCACCGGGCCUUUGGCGCUUCUUACUAUUGAUUCAUUGAAGUACGUAUACAAAUGGUUGCGAUAGGAGGAGGAGGAGGAGGAGCAACCGGCAACGAUGGCGGACAUGAGUGCAUUCCUGUAUUAGGAGGGGCCCUUUAAGAUUAGGUAAGCUUUGCUGCGAUGGCUGCAUGCACUGCACCUGCAUGGAACUCGCAACUUAAGCCUCCUGCAAAAUCACAGAUCUGCGUUUUUAAUGACGCGGCAUGGUUUAAAACUUUUUAUUUAUUUGAUCCGCCAUGCUCGAGCAGUAAUAGUCUAAGCUUCACCGUGUAAUAAGCUCCACCUGCGUGCACUAAGAUGUUCCGGUACUGCUGCUGUUUAUGUUUGUUAUAUUUGCUACCAGUUUGAUUGAUUACUAUUAUCUACUGUACGUGCUCAUUAUUUGGCUUUCAAGAUAUAUUUGUUCUCUAUGUGUCACUGCCAAUUAAUUUCAAAGCAGAUGAUAAACUGUGAUUUGCUCCUCAAUUUGUACUGUAUCUCAGAUCUCCUUUGUUCCUAGAAUAUUAGCUUCUUCACGGCAAUUUCAAAGUUAGAUGUACCAUAGUAAGCCAAUCAAAAUCUGCACCAUAUUAAUCUGAUGCUUUUUUACCCGCUCAUCCUUAAUUAAUAGGCAUUUUCCAAUAGGAUCAGCUUUGCUGUACAAACUCACUUGUAUUUUCCGAAUAUAAAUAAGAUUCGGUCCUUCUCUCUGAAAACUUGGCCUCAUGCUUAUGUUUGCAUUUGCUAUUGGUAAUGUGAAUUUGAGCAAAUAUA
rnacentral:lncRNA from 1 species